rnacentral:lncRNA from 1 species
GAACCGCUCCCGGACCCCGGGAACCGGGAACCGACCCACCGGGACCCCACCGGGAACCGACCCCACCGGGAACUGGGAUCUGACCCCCGGGGCACCCACUUUCACCCGGGACACCGGGACUUGACUUGGGACCCCCACCCGGGAACCCCAUUGAGGACCUUGGGACCCCCCUUGAGGACCCCAGGACGCACCCAGGACCCCAGGACCCUCCUUGAGGACCCCAGGACCCCCCCAGGACCCCCUUGAGGACCCCAGGACCCACCCGGGACCCCCUUGAGGAGCCCAGGACCCCCUUGAGGAGCUCAGCACCCACCAGGACCCUCCUUGAGGACCCCAGGACCCCCCCAGGACCCCCUUGAGGACCCCAGGACCCACCCGGGACCCCCUUGAGGAGCCCAGGACCCCCUUGAGGAGCUCAGCACCCACCAGGACCCUCCUUGAGGACCCCAGGACCCC